AAGGGUAUAGCUCAAGUGGUAGAGCGCAUGCUUAGCAUACAUGCGGUCCUGGGUUCAAUCCCCAGUACCUCCU
rnacentral:tRNA from 1 species